UACGUAGGGUGCGAGCGUUAAUCGGAAUUACUGGGCGUAAAGCGUGCGCAGGCGGUGAGCUGUGUCCGAUGUGAAAGCCCCGGGCUUAACCUGGGAAUGGCAUUGGAAACUGGCUCGCUGGAGUGUGGUAGGGGAGAUCGGAAUUCCUGGUGUAGCGGUGAAAUGCGCAGAUAUCAGGAGGAACACCGGUGGCGAAGGCGGAUCUCGUGGGC
rnacentral:rRNA from 1 species